rnacentral:ncRNA from 2 species
AAAAUCCACUAGGGGUGCGAAAAGCUGAGAGAGGAUAAAUCCUUAACCCUUUACCUGAUCUAGAUAAUGCUAGCGAAGGGAAGUGCGAUAUGUAAACC